rnacentral:rRNA from 1 species
UGUGGGUGGAUUAGUGGCGAACGGGUGAGUAACACGUGAGUAACCUGCCCUUAACUCUGGGAUAAGCCUGGGAAACUGGGUCUAAUACCGGAUAUGACUCCUCAUCGCAUGGUGGGGGGUGGAAAGCUUUUUGUGGUUUUGGAUGGACUCGCGGCCUAUCAGCUUGUUGGUGAGGUAAUGGCUCACCAAGGCGACGACGGGUAGCCGGCCUGAGAGGGUGACCGGCCACACUGGGACUGAGACACGGCCCAGACUCCUACGGGAGGCAGCAGUGGGGAAUAUUGCACAAUGGGCGCAAGCCUGAUGCAGCGACGCCGCGUGAGGGAUGACGGCCUUCGGGUUGUAAACCUCUUUCAGUAGGGAAGAAGCGAAAGUGACGGUACCUGCAGAAGAAGCGCCGGCUAACUACGUGCCAGCAGCCGCGGUAAUACGUAGGGCGCAAGCGUUAUCCGGAAUUAUUGGGCGUAAAGAGCUCGUAGGCGGUUUGUCGCGUCUGCCGUGAAAGUCCGGGGCUCAACUCCGGAUCUGCGGUGGGUACGGGCAGACUAGAGUGAUGUAGGGGAGACUGGAAUUCCUGGUGUAGCGGUGAAAUGCGCAGAUAUCAGGAGGAACACCGAUGGCGAAGGCAGGUCUCUGGGCAUUAACUGACGCUGAGGAGCGAAAGCAUGGGGAGCGAACAGGAUUAGAUACCCUGGUAGUCCAUGCCGUAAACGUUGGGCACUAGGUGUGGGGGACAUUCCACGUUUUCCGCGCCGUAGCUAACGCAUUAAGUGCCCCGCCUGGGGAGUACGGCCGCAAGG